rnacentral:rRNA from 1 species
AACGAACGCUGGCGGCAGGCUUAACACAUGCAAGUCGAGCGCCCCGCAAGGGGAGCGGCAGACGGGUGAGUAACGCGUGGGAAUCUACCCAUCUCUACGGAAUAACGCAUGGAAACGUGUGCUAAUACCGUAUACGUCCUUCGGGAGAAAGAUUUAUCGGAGAUGGAUGAGCCCGCGUUGGAUUAGCUAGUUGGUGGGGUAAAGGCCUACCAAGGCGACGAUCCAUAGCUGGUCUGAGAGGAUGAUCAGCCACACUGGGACUGAGACACGGCCCAGACGCCUACGGGAGGCAGCAGUGGGGAAUAUUGGACAAUGGGCGCAAGCUUGAUCCAGCCAUGCCGCGUGAGUGAUGAAGGCCCUAGGGUUGUAAAGCUCUUUCACCGGUGAAGAUAAUGACGGUAACCGGAGAAGAAGCCCCGGCUAACUUCGUGCCAGCAGCCGCGGUAACAC